rfam:Danio rerio chromosome 5, GRCz11 reference primary assembly.
CCAAAGGCCCUUUUAAGGGCCACCCAACUCUUCUGAAAAGAGCAAU